rnacentral:rRNA from 1 species
AUGAGUCAUCCUGAUGGCAUCAACAUUCAUGAUGGCAAGUUCUACCUAGGAUAUGUUGACUAUUCAUGUCAGCCAGGUGUUCUUCCACCCUUCAGGAAGACCAGGUAUCAUCUGAAUGAGUUCUCUAGUAGGAACUACCCUAGGACUCCACAGGAACUGUUCAAUCCCAGACACUCCAGCCUUAGAGUAACGGUUGAGAGGGUAUUUGGAGCUCUGAAGAAUAGGUUCAAGAUCCAAGAUUAGAAGCCAAUCCACACUUACCCUACCGAGGUUAAGCUUGUUCUUGCAUGUUGCAUUCUGCAUAACUGGAUCCUGCAAUGGGGUUGUGAUGAACUGGUGCCUGAGGAGGAAGAUGUGACGCCUGAUGAUCUUGACCUCGGUGGCCAUUGUGUUGAGGCAUUUGACAAAAAAGCCUGGAAGAACAAAAGGCUGGAGUGGGCAAAGGCAAUGUGGGAUAACAGAGGUCAGACAAGGAUCCGAAGAAGAAGAAGAAGAGCAAGAACAGCAAUAGAAGAGGAAGACGAAGAGGAACAACAAUAG